rnacentral:lncRNA from 1 species
GGUGUGCUGCUCAUCACCGGGGUGUGCUACGGGGACAGCACCGCCGUCUCCUCCCUCGUGCAGGUGCUAUACUGCAUGAAUCCCCCUUCACUGUCUCCCUUCAGUUUUCUUAUGUGUGUUGGUCCCCGAGUCUGCAGGGCAGUAGGAUUGCAUGCAGUCCUCAGGACACCUCUCCUCCUAGCUACAUCUACCUCGGUUUUGAGAUGCCUCACCUUGCACCUCCACCUACUGUUUGUUGAGUUUUGUUUCCACCUGAUGGCCACAAGUGCAGGUUCUCUCGGUUGCAGCUCGGUUGGGUCGUCGAUGAAGUAUGGAGGCACGUGAGAGGGCGAUGGGUUUACCCUCAACGGUCUGCAUCGAUGACAUUAUUAGCAGUAAAACAAAUGCAAAAAGAUGAGAAGUUUAGAACCAUUAGCACCAUAGAAUCUUCAUUUUUGCAGUGAAGUGUGUAUUGUACAGUAUAAAAAAUGGGUGUGUUGUUUUGGUGCAAUUCAUUUUGAUUUACAUUUUGGAAAAAUGGUUAUGCAUCAUGCUGAGCAGUUAACUAGUGGGGUACUCAAAUGUCACUUUUCUAGUUGAUGAGUGCAUUAUGCAGUGCAGUUAACAUCUCAAAGAAGCUCACUUUC